rnacentral:rRNA from 2 species
UAGGGAAUCUUCGGCAAUGGACGAAAGUCUGACCGAGCAACGCCGCGUGAGUGAAGAAGGUUUUCGGAUCGUAAAACUCUGUUGUUAGAGAAGAACAAGGACGUUAGUAACUGAACGUCCCCUGACGGUAUCUAACCAGAAGGCCACGGCUAACUACGUGCCAGCAGCCGCGGUAAUACGUAGGUGGCAAGCGUUGUCCGGAUUUAUUGGGCGUAAAGCGAGCGCAGGCGGUUUCUUAAGUCUGAUGUGAAAGCCCCCGGCUCAACCGGGGAGGGUCAUUGGAAACUGGGAGACUUGAGUGCAGAAGAGGAGAGUGGAAUUCCAUGUGUAGCGGUGAAAUGCGUAGAUAUAUGGAGGAACACCAGUGGCGAAGGCGGCUCUCUGGUCUGUAACUGACGCUGAGGCUCGAAAGCGUGGGGAGCAAACAGG